AGCAGUCGCCGCGGGAAUACGUAGGUUGCGUGCGUUAAUCGGAAUUACUGGGCGUAAAGCGUGCGCAGGCGGUUUUGUAAGACAGGCGUGAAAUCCCCGGGCUCAACCUGGGAAUGGCGCUUGUGACUGCAAAGCUAGAGUGCGGCAGAGGGGGAUGGAAUUCCGCGUGUAGCAGUGAAAUGCGUAGAUAUGCGGAGGAACACCGAUGGCGAAGGCAAUCCCCUGGGCCUGCACUGACGCUCAUGCACGAAAGCGUGGGAGCAAACAGGAUUAGAUACCCCCGUAGUCCCUGUCUCUUAUACA
rnacentral:rRNA from 1 species